rnacentral:rRNA from 1 species
CGUGGGUAACCUGCCCAAGAGAUCGGGAUAACACCUGGAAACAGAUGCUAAUACCGGAUAACAACAGAUGAUGCCUAUCAACUGUUUAAAAGAUGGUUCUGCUAUCACUCUUGGAUGGACCUGCGGUGCAUUAGCUAGUGGUAGGGUAACGGCCUACCAAGGCGAUGAUGCAUAGCCGAGUUGAGAGACUGAUCGGCCACAUUGGGACUGAGACACGGCCCAAACUCCUACGGGAGGCAGCAGUC